GCGGGUGUGGCGGAAUUGGCAGACGCGCCAGACUUAGGAUCUGGUGUCCCGGACGUGCAGGUUCAAGUCCUGUCACCCGCACCA
rnacentral:tRNA from 1 species